GUAUGAGGUGUGAAUAGCACAGUGCUUUCUCCCCUUCAUGCUGGUCAUACUCUGCUACCUCCUGAUCUUGAUGCAGGACUCUUAUGAUUCCCAUACAACCAUCUCAUAUCAAAGCCAAGUGGAUAAUACCCCAUAUACAUCAUCAUCACAGGGAAACAUUCAGGCUAGAAUCCAACAACGCAAACACCAGCCAGAAAGCUGCUGUUUUCUUCUUAACACUUGUUAUCAGUGAGCUGUGUAUGCUUGGGGAGCAAAGCACGGUGACAGUGCCUUGUCACACUGGCAAGACAGGAUCGUGUUCAGGACUGCGUAAGGUGAAGAGCACAAGGCUCCGGUUUGCAUCUGCCUGUGCUCCAGGAAGCUGGGAGUUUGUUGAAGAUGGAUCUGCACAUGGGCAUCUCUGCAAAUUGCCUGGGAAACGGUACUUGGGCCUGAGUGCUGUUAGGGUACAGCAUCCCUUAAUCACAGACCCCAGGAAGACUCUGGCUCCACAGUGCCUGGUACUGUCUCCUCUGUGGAGCUCAGAAAGGGUCCAGCAUGCAGGUGUCCAUCCUUGGUCCUGGACAGGAGAUGGUCUGUAAAUGCUUCUUCAUGAAGCAGGCAGCGAAGAAACAUGGGACGGAGAUGUCUUGUCACAGUUGGCUAAUGGGCCACUUCUUGGGUGAAGGUAUUUUUACUUUCCUUCGGAGUUGAUCCGGUUUUUGGUUUUGAAAUCAAAUGGCUUCCCUCAUCUGCAUGCUACUCGUGUGGGAAUAGCUGCCCAGGAAAUGGAGGCGAUAGGUUUGCUUGAGCCUUCAGAGAAUCAGAGCUUUUCUGUUCUUUCAUGCUUUUCCCCCGUUUCCGUCAGGAAAUGCAGGGGCUGAAGGGCACAAAAAUGGAUAAUUGUGUCCCACAGCAGUGCAGUGACAGCAGAAAGGAGUUGUGGUGUAAGCAACUGAUGUGUGUGUGCAUGUAAAAAUGAGAAUGCAGCAUAAGCGAUCUCACCUAUCCCUUCUGGCUUUAAUACCCAAGAGGAUGAUUAUCAGCUGCUCUUACACAGCAAUGCAAUGGUGGUAUUGGGCAGUGUCUGUUAGAAACCUGUAACAGAAGAGGAAUUCACAAGAAAGCUGCUUGCUUUUUGUUUAAAAUCACUCUGUGUGUGUGCACCUAGGUGUGUGUAUGGGUUUUGCACUUGCCUCAGCGUUUUUGGGUGGGCUGUGAAGCAAAUUUCCCAAGCAGUCUGCACCUCCUGCUAUGCAAAAGCUGGCCAGAACAUUUGUUAGGUUAGUAAAAUGCAUCUUUGUGGUACCCUUUAAGCAACCACCUCAUUUUACAUAAAAAGGUCUGUUUGUGAUUUGUAAGACUCUUUCAGUCUGUUGGCUCCUCUGAUAUCCUAAGCCUAUUAGUUUUCCACCCAUCCACAAAAUUUUCCAGGAGAAAACAGGAGACAAAAACUGAAUUUCUAGUAGAAGAGACAAAACAAACCAACAAGCAGGAACAAAAAUAAUCAAAUAAAAAAAAAUCACUAAAAACCCA
rnacentral:lncRNA from 1 species